AUUUCAUUCCGAUUAAGCGUUGAGCUAAACCUUUUUCAGUGUUCCAACAUAAAAGCAAUCAAUACAAUUGGCAUUGAUGCAUCAUUGUUUAAGUUUUUUCACUACAAAAAUUCUGAAUUAUCAAGUUGUCAUGUCCGAGGCAUAGACACUUUCGAAUAGGAUGGGCUGCAAGGUGAAAAUCACUAGUCCUACUCAGGUCUUUUCUCCACUCCGCAUCUACAUCAGGUACCACAACUCGAUGUUCGUUGAACUACAAAAAAAGGAAGUUCGCACCAUGUAUCCAACUGAGAAUUGUAACAAUUACAUGAGCACAUGAUGACUAUAGCUUAGAUUUUUAAUAACAAUCAGCAGAACUUGUUGAGAAAAAAGAUAAGAGCCAGAAUACUAACUUCUAUUUUUGGUUAUUGUGUCAUACAUUUCAGUAAUAAUUACUAAAUAAGUAAGGACAAAAGAAAGGAAGAUGAUAAGCAAUAGAUCAUUAUUGUCAAGCUUCUCGCCAAUAUAUAAUUCCAAAAUUAGUAAAAAUGGGGACAAAAAAAUGUAUAAUGGGGAAAGUAAGGACAAAACAAACAUGGAUUUUUUAGUGCAUAGAAUUAAAGGCAUCUAUCUAUAAAAGGAUGUAAGGCAGUCUAACAAACAAUUCACAAACAAUGUAUUCUCCGGCAGUGUCGUAUGUGUAAAUGAAUGCAUAGAAGAACUUGUGCAACAAAUAUAAAAAAUUGUUAUUGUUCUUCAGAAGACCCUAACCAACAGUAAGCAUCACUUCUAAAAAUAGUGUACCAAGGAAGAUUCAAACCUGGAGCUAGCACAAGCACGAUGAAAGUACUAAAUUACUAAUAGAUAUAUGGCACAUGCCCGCACUCCACUACUGUUACAAGUUACUUCCCUGAUGAGUGAAUCUGUAACUAGCUACUUGAUACUUGGUAGUACUUUCUCUUUCUUAAGCAAGACCCUACAAUUAUUCGCAAGAAAGGAAAAUUAACAUCGGUGUAAAACUGUUGGCCUAGCAGGUAGCUAGUCUACUCUAGUGUGUCAUCCCGUGAAACUGAUGUCGAAACUGAAAAGGUUUGUCAUUUGUCAACCAGAUUGCUAGAAGGUCACUUGAAUGAUAGCAUAUUCUAACUGAAGCAACAAAGAAAAGAAAUUAAAUAAAUAUCAAGGUGUUUGAGUGUCCCAGCAAAUUCAGCAACACAUACAAAAUUACUAGUAGGAGUCCAUAAGGAGUUGUAACAAGUUAUUUUCCUGAUGAGUAAGUUUUUUGUUACUAAUUGGCACUUGGCAAGCUAGGAGUACUAUCCAUGCGUUGUGUUUCUUGCUUAAUCAAGGUCUGCGAGUCAAUGCCGUCUAACUAGACAGCCAGAAAAAUAACAUCACCAACCAAAUCUCUUGCUGACUAGUCGAUCAAUUUAUACCAACAAAUAAAUUUAAGCUUCCUCACAUCACAUCUUAUGAUUGUGUGACAAAUUAAGGAGAAGGCAUCCAGGGAUGGCUGUCAUAUACCUUUCAUCAGGUGAAAUAUUUUCAAUGACCAACGAACCAAAAGGCACUUAGCCACUGAACACAACGCGGCCGCCACCACCUAGCAUUUUCGGAUAAAGCAAAUCAUUUGCUAAUGCCAGAGGUUUAGAGCACUUGCAUGUGGCACACAAUCGAAUACUUAUUAGUUCGGGACACAAAAGUUUGUGCAAAAAUGCAUGAAAACACAUACUGUAGGAAAGGUAGCACACAUGUGCACCACAGGAAACACCAAAACAGCACCUAGACAGCCUCUGCAAUAAGAAAAAACCAAGACGUGUGUUAGUGUUGUGAUGAAUAUAUGAUCUAGCUGAGAAAAAUAUGAUCCAACAUGUGCCGAAAUGCAAAUUAUAGGCAAUUAUAUACAGAUCAGUAUAUGAAUUUAAUCUUUCUAAAAUGCUAGUUGUGGAGCUCUUUGUGUGCAUGUAAGUGAAAUGCAUGAUUAUAGUGUAUUGAUUAUGAUACAACCAUGCUUUAUGAUACUGUAAUUGAUACUACUCCUAUCUGAUAAUUGUCUAUAUGAUCAUGCUCCUAAUGAAUUGAUCUUACACUAGGUCUCCUAUAUUUUGCCUACGAGUCUAUUAAUUGUGAUUGAUUAGAUGUCAACUGCUGCUGAACCGAUCAAUGGUUGCUCCAAUCAUCUCUGAAUAAAGUACACUCUAACAUUGACACUGCUUGUGCAUUGGUGCCCUUGUAUGAAAAUUAGUUGUCUUGACUAGUAUAGUAAUUUACUCUGACUUAUGCUUUUCCCCCCUUUCAGAAAGGAACAAUACAGGAAUAUAUGAGAUGGAUUCUUAUUAACCAAUGAAGUAAAUUUUGUCUCUGGCAUGUGGAAUUAUUUAGAAGAAGAGAAGGUUCGAGUUCUUGGAUCUGACCAGCAAGUUCAGGCAUUAGUGCAUGGAUGGUGAGUUGAUGGAUUGGAGAAAAAAAUACGAGGUGGAAGAGGAGCGCGACUAACCUUGGUGGAAGUAGGUGGAAGUUGAUCGUGGAACCGUCGCCGUUGCCAUCACCGGAGGGGCAGGAACUUCGAGGAGG
rnacentral:lncRNA from 1 species